AAGUCUGGUGCCAGCAGCCGCGGUAAUUCCAGCUCCAAUAGCGUAUAUUAAAGUUGUUGCGGUUAAAAAGCUCGUAGUUGAAUCUGUGUGCCACGCUGUCGGUUCAUCGCUCGCGAUGUUUAACUGACAUGAUUGUGGUACGUCCUACCGGUGGGCUUAGCCUCUCGGGGCGGUCCAGCUUAAUAUCCCAUCGCGGUGCUCUUCAUCGAGUGUCGAGGUGGGCCGGUACGUUUACUUUGAACAAAUUAGAGUGCUCAAAGCAGGCUAUGUUCGCCUGAAUACUGUGUGCAUGGAAUAAUGGAAUAGGACCUCGGUUCUAUUUUGUUGGUUUUCGGAACCCCGAGGUAAUGAUUAAUAGGGACAGAUGGGGGCAUUCGUAUUGCGACGUUAGAGGUGAAAUUCUUGGAUCGUCGCAAGACGGACAGAAGCGAAAGCAUUUGCCAAAAAUGUUUUCAUUAAUCAAGAACGAAAGUUAGAGGUUCGAAGGCGAUCAGAUACCGCCCUAGUUCUAACCAUAAACGAUGCCAGCUAGCGAUCCGCCGAAGUUCCUCCGAUGACUCGGCGGGCAGCUUCCGGGAAACCAAAGCUUUUGGGUUCCGGGGGAAGUAUGGUUGCAAAGCUGAAACUUAAAGGAAUUGACGGAAGGGCACCACCAGGAGUGGAGCCUGCGGCUUAAUUUGACUCAACACGGGAAACC
rnacentral:rRNA from 1 species